UCACACCAAUUGGUAUAAUACAAGGCUGUUUGGAGGAUAACAAAUUAUUGUGAUUGAAAACUUGUACUGUACUCUUGGAUCACUCAUGCAGUGCAUUUUUCAAUUUUUUAAAUUUUAAAUUGAUCCUAUGAUUCUUUAUGUCAUCACAUGACAUGAGUACUAAUAUAGCAGCAAUCACCUUUAAUUUUAUACUUCAGAUAUAAUUCAGUUAAUAUUGGUGAUAAACACUUUAAAGCAGAGCUUCUUUUCAACACAUUUACAUUUGCACUCUCAAUCAUUGACUCCAAACUAAGUGAGUAAAUAUACUAGAGUUACUCAGGUUAUAAUUAUUUUUUAAAUGUUUCCUUUUAAUUUGCUUUAGACACAAACAGCAUCUCAAGAAAACUUAGCGCAAUAUCUGGAAUCUGAACGCUCCAAAGAAAACACUUCUCAUGAAUCUUCUUGUAAAACAGAAUUGGAAAAAUAUAAGCAACUUUACCUAGAAGAAUUAAAAUUGAGAAAGUCGCUGGAAAAAAAACGAAACAAACUUCACAGGACUAAUCGGAGGCUGGCUAAAACCUGUGUGAAACGUCUGAUGGAGAAAGAGCAGAACAGGUCUUUACCCCAAACAUUUACUACAAGUCCUGUCCUGGAGCCACCUGGUGCUGAAAAUAUUCAUAAUAGCUCUGGGUUCAGAGGAAAUACUACAACAAGAGAAACCUUGUUGUUUUCUACCUCACGUUCACGGCCUUCAUUUGACAGCAUUGUGACUGCUUUGAUGAAGGUUAGUUACGUUAUCCUUUCUUGCUUACAUUUCAGAUUUCUGAUGUAAUUUGUGUUUUUAAUUCUGACUCGACUUAGGCACACUUAGUAAAAGCCAUAAUUAUUUGUGCUAAUAAAGAAAACAAAUUUUGUAAUUUUUAAGUCCCUAGAUUUCUCCUUUUAAGAGAUACCUAUCAACUUUCUUCAAUAAAUGUAACAUUGACAAAUUCAAAUUUCUUGAAAAGCUGCAUUUAAAUGCUUUUUUUUUUUUUCUUUUUAGGGCUGUAUUUGCAGCAUAUGGAAGCUUCCUUUGCCGCAGCCGCAGCAGUGCAGGAUCCAAGCUGCAUCUGUGACCUCCAUCAGAGCUCAGGCAACCCUGGAUCCUUGACCCGCUGAUGGAGGCCAUAGAUCAAAGCCCUUCCUCAUAGAUAUUAGUUGGCUUGGUCACUGCUGAGCCACAACAGGAACUCCUUAGAUGCUAUUUUAGAAAUUAAAUAUUAUUGCCUAAUAACCAAAUAUAUACUUUCAGAUGUUUGGCAUACUUUAUUACAGCUUGGCCAUAGUUGAUAGUAAGUUUCAAAUUCUGUUGCACCCUAGUUUUUCUACCCCUCAGCAUAAGUGACUGAUUGGCAUUCAAGCACUUAACCACACAUGGAUGUUUCAUGCUUAAAGGAAGCCAUGAUAAAGCCUUUGCAUGAAUCAAGUAAACUUUAACACUAAACUAACAGAUUUAGUUCCCAUCGUGGCUCAGUGGGUUAAGAACCCAGCACAGUGUCGGAGAGGAUGCAGGUUAAAUCCCUGGCCUUGCUCAUUGGCUUAAGGAUCAGGCAUUGCCCCAAGCUGUGGCAGAGGUCACACAUGUGACUCAGAUCUGGUGUUUCCCUGCCUGUGGUGUAGCCAUUGGCUUCAGCCCUGAUUUGACCCAUGGCCUAGAAACUUCCAUAUGCCACUGGUGCAGCCAUAAAAAUAAAGUAAAAUAAAAGGUUCAUUUCUGUUUAUGUUUUUUUCUUUAUUAUUUUUUUUCCUUGUUGGUGACUCUGCAGCAUUUGGAGUUUCUGGGCCAGGGAUCAGAUCUGAGCCACAGUUGGGGCCAUACCACAGGUCAGGCAAUGCAGAUCCUUUAACCCACUGUGGGGUCCAGGGCUAAACCUGCAUCCUGGCAUUGCAAAGAUGCUCCCCUUCCCAUUGCACCAA
rnacentral:lncRNA from 1 species